UACGGAGGAUCCAAGCGUUAUUCGGAAUCAUUGGGUUUAAAGGGUCCGUAGGCGGUUUAGUAAGUCAGUGGUGAAAGCCCAUCGCUCAACGGUGGAACGGCCAUUGAUACUGCUGAACUUGAAUUAUUAGGAAGUAACUAGAAUAUGUAGUGUAGCGGUGAAAUGCUUAGAGAUUACAUGGAAUACCAAUUGCGAAGGCAGGUUACUACUAAUGGAUUGACGCUGAUGGACGAAAGCGUGGGUAGCGAACAGG
rnacentral:rRNA from 1 species